GAAAAAUAGAAGUCGUUGGUGGUAGCGAUGAAUUUGGGAAAAAACAAAAAACAAAAACAAAAGGUCAUCUCCUCUUCUUCCUCUUUCUUCCUUUCUUUCAUUCACCUCUUCUUUUUUCUUUCUCAAAAUCUCAUCCCACCAGAAAACCCUUCUUGAUUUCUCAUCCCAAGAAACCCCACGAAUUCCUUCUACUAUUGGGAACACUCACCCCUAGCCUUAGCUAUCUCUCUCUGUAUAUAACUACUUAUAUAGGGACUUGUUGAAUUCGGGGAAUCAAAGCUGUGCUGUGGGAUCUUUGCAGAUCUGGUGCUGUUUUCUGUUGAGGCAGUUGUGUGGGUUUGAGGAUUUAGUUUCUACCGAAGUUGCAAAUCAUUGAUUUUUCCGAUCAUUUGUUUAAUGGUUGAUGACCAUUCCAAUGGAAAACAACAAAGAAAGUUCCUCAAGAGAGCUUGUUCAGCGCCUCUUCAAUAAGAAUGUUGAGUUGGAGAAUAAACGAAGGAAAGCGGCACAGUUGAGAAUCCCGUCAGAUCCUAAUACAUGGCAACAGAUGCGUGAAAACUAUGAAGCAAUUAUUCUUGAAGACCAUGCCUUUUCUGAACAACAUGACAUAGAAUAUGCUCUCUGGCAAUUGCAUUACAGGAGGAUUGAGGAGCUAAGGGCACUCUUCAAUGCAGCUGUAGCUUCAGCAGGUU